rnacentral:rRNA from 1 species
AUUGAACGCUGGCGGAAUGCUUUACACAUGCAAGUCGAACGGCAGCAUAGGUGCUUGCACCUGAUGGCGAGUGGCGAACGGGUGAGUAAUACAUCGGAACGUGCCCAGUCGUGGGGGAUAACGUAGCGAAAGUUACGCUAAUACCGCAUACGAUCUAAGGAUGAAAGCGGGGGACCGUAAGGCCUCGCGCGAUUGGAGCGGCCGAUGUCAGAUUAGGUAGUUGGUGAGGUAAAGGCUCACCAAGCCGACGAUCUGUAGCUGGUCUGAGAGGGCCACCAGCCACACUGGGACUGAGACACGGCCCAGACUCCUACUGGGGGCAGCAGUGGGGAAUUUUGGAUAAUGGACGCAAGUCUGAUCCAGCCAUUCCGCGUGCAGGACGAAGGCCUUCGGGUUGUAAACUGCUUUUGUACGGAACGAAAAAGCUCUUACUAAUACUAGGAGUCCAUGACGGUACCGUAAGAAUAAGCACCGGCUAACUACGUGCCAGCAGCCGCCGCAG